CCAAUAGCGUAUAUUAAAGUUAUUGCAGUUAAAAAGCUCGUAGUUGAAUUUCAGGCCUGGCUGGACGGUCCGCCCUUCGGGUGAGUACUGUCUGUGGUCGGGUCCUACCUUCUGGCGAAGCGUCAUGGCCUUAACCGGCCGUGGCGGGGAACCAGGACUUUUACUGUGAAAAAAUUAGAGUGUUCAAAGCAGGCAAUCGCUUGGAUACAUUAGCAUGGAAUAAUGGAAUAGGACAAUGGUUCUAUUUGUUGGUUUCUAGGACCGUUGUAAUGAUUAAUAGGGAUAGUUGGGGGCAUUAGUAUUCAAUUGUCAGAGGUGAAAUUCUUGGAUUUAUUGAAGACUAACUACUGCGAAAGCAUUUGCCAAGGAUGUUUUCAUUAAUCAAGAACGAAAGUUAGGGGAUCGAAGACGAUCAGAUACCGUCGUAGUCUUAACCAUAAACUAUGCCGACUAGGGAUCGGAUGAUGUUAAUUUUUUAAUGACUCAUUCGGCGCCUUACG
rnacentral:rRNA from 1 species